rnacentral:rRNA from 1 species
UAAGGCGAGGCCGAAAGGCGUAGUCGAUGGGAAACGGGUUAAUAUUCCCGUACUUGGUGUUACUGCGAAGGGGGGACGGAGAAGGCUAUGUUGGCCGGGCGACGGUUGUCCCGGUUUAAGCGUGUAGGUGUGUGUUCCAGGUAAAUCCGGUUCACUUUAACACUGAGGCGUGAUGACGAGGCACUACGGUGCUGAAGCAACAAAUGCCCUGCUUCCAGGAAAAGCCUCUAAGCAUCAGGUAACAUCAAAUCGUACCCCAAACCGACACAGGUGGUCAGGUAGAGAAUACCAAGGCGCUUGAGAGAACUCGGGUGAAGGAACUAGGCAAAAUGGUGCCGUAACUUCGGGAGAAGGCACGCUGACACGUAGGUGAAGUGAUUUACUCAUGGAGCUGAAGUCAGUCGAAGAUACCAGCUGGCUGCAACUGUUUAUUAAAAACACAGCACUGUGCAAACACGAAAGUGGACGUAUACGGUGUGACGCCUGCCCGGUGCCGGAAGGUUAAUUGAUGGGGUCAGCGCAAGCGAAGCUCCUGAUCGAAGCCCCGGUAAACGGCGGCCGUAACUAUAACGGUCCUAAGGUAGCGAAAUUCCUUGUCGGGUAAGUUCCGACCUGCACGAAUGGCGUAAUGAUGGCCAGGCUGUCUCCACCCGAGACUCAGUGAAAUUGAACUCGCUGUGAAGAUGCAGUGUACCCGCGGCAAGACGGAAAGACCCCGUGAACCUUUACUAUAGCUUGACACUGAACAUUGAGCCUUGAUGUGUAGGAUAGGUGGGAGGCUUUGAAGUGUGGACGCCAGUCUGCAUGGAGCCGGCCUUGAAAUACCACCCUUUAAUGUUUGAUGUUCUAACGUGGACCCGUGAUCCGGGUUGCGGACAGUGUCUGGUGGGUAGUUUGACUGGGGCGGUCUCCUCCUAAAGAGUAACGGAGGAGCACGAAGGUUGGCUAAUCCUGGUCGGACAUCAGGAGGUUAGUGCAAUGGCAUAAGCCAGCUUGACUGCGAGCGUGACGGCGCGAGCAGGUGCGAAAGCAGGUCAUAGUGAUCCGGUGGUUCUGAAUGGAAGGGCCAUCGCUCAACGGAUAAAAGGUACUCCGGGGAUAACAGGCUGAUACCGCCCAAGAGUUCAUAUCGACGGCGGUGUUUGGCACCUCGAUGUCGGCUCAUCACAUCCUGGGGCUGAAGUAGGUCCCAAGGGUAUGGCUGUUCGCCAUUUAAAGUGGUACGCGAGCUGGGUUUAGAACGUCGUGAGACAGUUCGGUCCCUAUCUGCCGUGGGCGCUGGAGAACUGAGGGGGGCUGCUCCUAGUACGAGAGGACCGGAGUGGACGCAUCACUGGUGUUCGGGUUGUCAUGCCAAUGGCACUGCCCGGUAGCUAAAUGCGGAAGAGAUAAGUGCUGAAAGCAUCUAAGCACGAAACUUGCCCCGAGAUGAGUUCUCCCUGAGACUUUAGGUCUCCUGAAGGAACGUUGAAGACGACGACGUUGAUAGGCCGGGUGUGUAAGCGCAGCGAUGCGUUGAGCUAACCGGUACUAAUGAACCGUGAGGCUUAACCUUACA